ensembl:snRNA U6 U6 spliceosomal RNA
GUGCUCGUUUUGGCAGCACAUAUACUAAAAUUGGAAUGAUACAGAGAAAAUUAGCAUGGCACCUGCACAAGGAUGACAUGCAAAUUGGUGAAGCAUUCUGUAUUUGU